CACUCAAAGGGACACUAGGCGCUGCUGCUGUUGAUGGUGGCGGUGUAGUCCUCUGCGGCGUGGACCGUGCCAUCUUACCCCUCCUGGAAUGGAGGGAGGGGGGGGGGUUGAGGAUGCGAGGAUGUGAUUUUAAGAAGCGGAGAAAAUCAAUGGACGAGGCCGUGGAGACGUCACGACACGCGCCGCUCGCGGAGGCUCUCAUCAUCUGGGACGCCAGCGGAGGGACCACCGGAUCCUCAACGACAAAAAGCGUCAUAGUCGAAGUUGGAUUGAUGCCUCCACCUCAUAUAGGAUGUUUUGGACACUUUUUCUGGACUUUGAAAGCUAUUAAAAGUGGGGAAAAACACCAAGACGUGGACCGACCGACCUCGUUCUGAUGGACAGGAGACUGGAUGCAUGAUGUGAAAUGCUUUUAUGAUUAUGUUACAUAUCAUUCAAAUGAUUUGUAUUCGGUAGCUAUGCACUUCUGUUGGGACUCAUUAGAAUAAGAGUGUAUUUGUAGAAUUGAAGAGAACGAGACAUAUGUUAGUUAAAAAAGUUUCAUUUGUACAACGCUGGUGAUUUCAUGAUUUGGUUUGAUUUGACUUGAACAAUGAAAUGUUUGACAAUCUGCAACUGCACAACGUAUCUUCUGUUUCGUACAGUAUUUGGUUCUCAUGAAUUUGCACACGGGGCAGAAUGGAGUGCUCAAAAUCACCAUGGAAUGCUUAUUACUUAUGCAGAAAGAAAAGAACAUGUAGGUUUUGCAAUGUGAGUUCUUUGCACAUUUGUUGGGUUUGCACGUUUACGGCUUGAUACGGGUUCAGCGAGUUGAUGACUACUCGAAUAUCUGAGCAUUUGUGCAAUUUGGAAGGUUUUACGAGUCUAUUUGAUAUCAAUGACGUCAGAAACGUUUUGUGAUGGGAGUAUGUGAUGAUAAUGUAUAUU